rnacentral:rRNA from 1 species
GUUUGAUCCUGGCUCAGGACGAACGCUGGCGGCGUGCUUAACACAUGCAAGUCGAGCGGUAAGGCCUUUCGGGGUACACGAGCGGCGAACGGGUGAGUAACACGUGAGUAAUCUGCCCUCCACUUGGGGAUAAGCAUUGGAAACGGUGUCUAAUACCUGAUAUGACUCAGCCAUGCAUGUGGUUGGGUGGAAAGUUUUUUCGGUGGGGGAUGUGCUCGCGGCCUAUCAGCUUGUUGGUGAGGUAAUGGCUCACCAAUGCAACGAUCCCUAGCUGGUUUGA